rnacentral:lncRNA from 1 species
UUUCUCUAGGUGUUCGUGACUUAUCAAUCUAGAAUCGCACUAGGUUGUGGCGUCUUCUUCCAUUAUACCAAGGUUCGUUAACCACGUGAUUAACGGGUUGAGGUCAUCCGCUCCAAACUUGGUGUCCUCUUGUCGAUCCUGAAGCUAAUCUUUUACGGGUUUCGUCACAAGGUUAGCGACGUUCGUAUCAGUUGGUAAUUAGAGCUAGUUAAAAGGUAUCACGUUAUAUCCCUUUAUUUAUUUCCUUUUUCGAGUCAAGUUGUCCAAAAUUCUGUUUUCGGGUUCUAAGUUUGCUAUCCGUAAUUUCCAGAUUUGUUACAUUGUGUUCUUGCUUUAUUUUUUCAGAUUUAUCGCGUCAUAAACUUGCGUCUAGUUGUUGUUAAUUGCUAUGGUUAGCCUUGUUUGGUCCAGCCUUUUUUUUUGUGUCUUAUUCUUAAUUCUUAAUUCUUUGUUUAUGUUUGUGUCUUGUUUCUAUCCCGUUAUAUCCAUUCAAUUCCAGUCUUUUGUUCUAUUUGAUCAUUCGAGGUUACUGUUCAUCCGAAAAAAAUCAGUUUGUAGCAAGGGUUUUAGAGUC